rnacentral:rRNA from 1 species
CAGUAGCCACGGUAAUACGGAGGGUGCAAGCGUUAAUCGGAAUUACUGGGCGUAAAGCGCACGCAGGCGGUCUGACAAGUCAGAUGUGAAAUCCCCGGGCUUAACCUGGGAACUGCAUUUGAAACUGUCAGGCUGGAGUCUUGUAGAGGGGGGUAGAAUUCCAGGUGUAGCGGUGAAAUGCGUAGAGAUCUGGAGGAAUACCGGUGGCGAAGGCGGCCCCCUGGACAAAGACUGACGCUCAGGUGCGAAAGCGUGGGGAGCAAACAGGAUUAGAGACCCCAGUAGUCCCUGUCUCUUAUAA